rnacentral:rRNA from 1 species
GACAGAGGUGCCGAGCGUUAGGCGGAAUCACUGGGCUUAAAGCGUGUGUAGGCGGACUUCUAAGUACCUUGUGAAAUCCCACGGCUCACCCGUGGAACUGCUGGGUAUACUGGUCGUCUUGAGCCACCUAGGGGCCAGCGGAACAAAUGGUGGAGCGGUGAAAUGCGUAGAUAUCAUUUGGAACGCCAACGGGGAAAACAGCUGGCUGGGGGUGUGCUGACGCUGAGACACGAAAGCCAGGGGAGCGAACGGG